rnacentral:sRNA from 1 species
CCUGAGUUUCUCCAACGGAGCACACCCCAGAUCAAUGUUGCAAGUAGGGCAGCAGCAGGACUCCUUAUCGACGAACUCCUCAUGUAUACACUUUCUGCAGACUGGUGUGGAGGCACUCGGAGAUGGUGGUGGCGUCGCGGAGGAGGCGGCCGCAGAGCGGGCAGGUCAGGCACGCCGCCACGCUCGCCCGCCUCACCAUCACCACGUCCCCGCCGCCUCCCACCUCCU